GACGAACGCUGGCGGCGUGCCUAACACAUGCAAGUCGAGCGGGGUUGAAGCGAGGGGUAACUCGGACUUCUACCUAGCGGCGGACGGGUGAGUAACGCGUGGGCAACCUGCCUCAAGGUUUGGGAUAACAGCUCGAAAGGGCUGCUAAUACCGGAUAUGCCUGUGGCCUCGCAUGGGGCUAUGAGCAAAGGGGAAACCCGCCUUGAGAUGGGCCCGCGUCCCAUCAGCUAGUUGGUGAGGUGAAGGCUCACCAAGGCGACGACGGGUAGCCGGCCUGAGAGGGUGACCGGCCACACUGGGACUGAGACACGGCCCAGACUCCUACGGGGGGCAGCAGUGGGGGAUCUUGCACAAUGGGCGAAAGCCUGAUGCAGCGACGCCGCGUGAGCGAAGAAGGCCUUCGGUUGUAAGCUCUGUCUGGAGGGACGAAGAAAAUGACGGUACCUCCGGAGGAAGCCGACGGCUAACUACGUAG
rnacentral:rRNA from 1 species